rnacentral:rRNA from 1 species
GUGGGGAAUUUUGGACAAUGGGGGCAACCCUGAUCCAGCCAUCCCGCGUGUGCGAUGAAGGCCUUCGGGUUGUAAAGCACUUUUGGCAGGAAAGAAAUCGCACGGGAUAAUACCUCGUGUGGAUGACGGUACCUGCAGAAUAAGCACCGGCUAACUACGUGCCAGCAGUCGCGGUAAUACGUAGGGUGCAAGCGUUAAUCGGAAUUACUGGGCGUAAAGCGUGCGCAGGCGGUUCGGAAAGAAAGAUGUGAAAUCCCAGGGCUUAACCUUGGAACUGCAUUUUUAACUACCGGGCUAGAGUGUGUCAGAGGGGGGUGGAAUUCCGCGUGUAGCAGUGAAAUGCGUAGAUAUGCGGAGGAACACCGAUGGCGAAGGCAGCCCCCUGGGAUAACACUGACGCUCAUGCACGAAAGCGUGGGGAGCAAACAGGAUUAGAUACCCUAGUAGUCC